UGGCCAUGGUGCAUAGCUCAGAGCCGGAAAGCAAACAGCUGCUGUAGCCUGAUUUGAGUUAAAAUAGUGUCAGUGUUUAGUCUGGCGCACUGCUUCAGGAGAGAUUGGCAGCUGGGUCAAACAAAGUCAUUCCAUUGGCUCCUUUCCCAGUGAGCUUCUGCUAGUAUUUAGCUGACGCAUCCUGCUCUCAACGUGGUGUAGAAAGCAGUCUGUUACAGUGCUGGAUUAAUAAAAGGGGCCUUUAUGGGUUGUGAAAGAAUAUCUCUGUGCUUAGGCAGGAAACUUUUUGAUCCACAGAAAACCCUGACGACAUCUAGGUCUCCAAAGAGGUCUAACAGUGUGAAAAAUAGUUGGCUGUCCCGUGCAAAAGAAGCUUGUUUUCAUAAAUUCUUCAGCAGCCUGUGCAUUGUGAUGAACUGUACAGUGAUCAGAAAAUUUAAAACAGAAUGGAAAAUGAAGAAGUUGUUAAUAACAGAAAUCAACAAAGUCUCCAAGGAAACAGCUGAGUUGAAUGUUAAUUAA
rnacentral:lncRNA from 1 species